AUUGAACGCUGGCGGCAUGCCUUACACAUGCAAGUCGAACGGUAACGGGCCUUCGGGCGCCGACGAGUGGCGAACGGGUGAGUAAUGCAUCGGAACGUACCUUUCAGUGGGGGAUAACGUAGCGAAAGUUACGCUAAUACCGCAUAUUCUGUGAGCAGGAAAGCAGGGGGUCGCAAGACCUUGCGCUGAUUGAGCGGCCGAUGUCAGAUUAGCUAGUUGGUGAGGUAAAGGCUCACCAAGGCGACGAUCUGUAGCGGGUCUGAGAGGAUGAUCCGCCAAACUGGAACUGGGACACGGUCCAGACUCCUACGGGAGGCAGCAGUGGGUAAUUUUUGACAAUGGGGGCAACCCUGAUCCAGCCAUGCCGCGUGAGUGAAGAAGGCCUUCGGGUUGUAAAGCUCUUUCGGCCGGGAAGAAAUCGUAUGGGCUAAUACCCUGUGCGGAUGACGGUACCGGCAUAAGAAGCACCGGCUAACUACGUGCCAGCCGCCGCCGUAAGAC
rnacentral:rRNA from 1 species